GAGCCAGCAUGGCAUAGUGGUUUGAGUGUUGGACUAGGACUCUUGAGGCCAGAGUUCGAUUCCCAGCUGGGCCA
rnacentral:tRNA from 1 species